rnacentral:rRNA from 1 species
GACGAACGCUGGCGGCGUGCUUAACACAUGCAAGUCGAACGGAAAGGCCCUGCUUUUGUGGGGUGCUCGAGUGGCGAACGGGUGAGUAACACGUGAGUAACCUGCCCUUGACUUUGGGAUAACUUCAGGAAACUGGGGCUAAUACCGGAUAGGAGCUCCUGCUGCAUGGUGGGGGUUGGAAAGUUUCGGCGGUUGGGGAUGGACUCGCGGCUUAUCAGCUUGUUGGUGGGGUAGUGGCUUACCAAGGCUUUGACGGGUAGCCGGCCUGAGAGGGUGACCGGCCACAUGGGGACUGAGAUACGGCCCAGACUCCUACGAGAGGCAGCAGUGGGGAAUCUUGCACAAUGGGCGGAAGCCUGAUGGAGCAACGCCGCGUGCGGGAUGACGGCCUUCGGGUUGUAAACCGCUUUCGCCUGUGACGAAGCGUGAGUGACGGUAAUGGGUAAAGAAGCACCGGCUAACUACGUG